GGUCCUGUCUAGCUCAACUGGGAAGAGCAUGGCAUUAAACACUGCCAGGGCUAGGGGUUCAAGUCCCUGUGGGGCUCA